UUCAACGAUGGAUAUCUAGGUUCCCAUACCGAUGAAGAGCGCAGCAAAAUGCGAUACGCAAUGCGAAUUGCAGAAUUCCGCGAAUCAUCAGAUUCUUGAACGCAACUGGCGCUGUAGCAAUACAGCAUGUCUGUUUCAGUGUCUG
rnacentral:rRNA from 1 species